rnacentral:rRNA from 1 species
UACAGAGGGUGCGAGCGUUAAUCGGAAUUACUGGGCGUAAAGCGCGCGUAGGCGGCUUUGCAAGUCGGGUGUGAAAUCCCCAGGCUUAACCUGGGGAACUGCAUUCGAGACUGCAUUGCUAGAGUAUGGGAGAGGGAAGUGGAAUUUCCGGUGUAGCGGUGAAAUGCGUAGAUAUCGGAAGGAACAUCAGUGGCGAAAGCGACUUCCUGGACCAAUACUGACGCUCAUGUGCGAAAGCGUGGGGAGCAAACAGG